ACCCAGCAGUGAUAAACUAUCAACCCAGCAAGCUGGGUUACAGAAAUGACCCAAUAUGAGUAAAAACCACCAAACUAAAUGACCCAACAGCCUCAACCCAGCGUUUGGGUUGAAAAAACAACCCAGCAUUUUUUAGAGUGUAGGUAUGGCUCACUC